rnacentral:rRNA from 4 species
CCUUUAAUGUUUGAUGUUCUAACGUGGACCCGUGAUCCGGGUUGCGGACAGUGUCUGGUGGGUAGUUUGACUGGGGCGGUCUCCUCCUAAAGAGUAACGGAGGAGCACGAAGGUUGGCUAAUCCUGGUCGGACAUCAGGAGGUUAGUGCAAUGGCAUAAGCCAGCUUGACUGCGAGCGUGACGGCGCGAGCAGGUGCGAAAGCAGGUCAUAGUGAUCCGGUGGUUCUGAAUGGAAGGGCCAUCGCUCAACGGAUAAAAGGUACUCCGGGGAUAACAGGCUGAUACCGCCCAAGAGUUCAUAUCGACGGCGGUGUUUGGCACCUCGAUGUCGGCUCAUCACAUCCUGGGGCUGAAGUAGGUCCCAAGGGUAUGGCUGUUCGCCAUUUAAAGUGGUACGCGAGCUGGGUUUAGAACGUCGUGAGACAGUUCGGUCCCUAUCUGCCGUGGGCGCUGGAGAACUGAGGGGGGCUGCUCCUAGUACGAGAGGACCGGAGUGGACGCAUCACUGGUGUUCGGGUUGUCAUGCCAAUGGCACUGCCCGGUAGCUAAAUGCGGAAGAGAUAAGUGCUGAAAGCAUCUAAGCACGAAACUUGCCCCGA